CUGAGGCUCCAAGUUGGGAGUGGUGGCGCACAGGAGUGGUGGCGCACACCUUUAAUCCUAGCACUUGGCGGGCAGUGGCAGAGCGUGUCGGACCCCCCUGGAACCAGAGUUAUAGAUUGAAGUGGGAACUUAAGGGUUUUUUUGGAAAGUCGUUCAGAUGGUGUUUUGCUGGAGUGAACACGUGAAAGAACAUUUCAUUAAAGUGGACACAGGUGUGAAAGGCUAAGGCCGACUUGUGAAGGAAUGUUUGGCUGAAGCAGACCGAUGAAAGGACAUUCUGCUAAGGCAAACACAAGAAUGGACACGUGAUAAAGGAUUCUGGACACGUGAUGAGGGAUUCUGGACACGUGAUGAAGGAUUCUUUGCUAACAGCACGCAUGCGUCGGUCCACCUCACAUUGCGUAGUUGGGACUCCACGGAGAGAAAUGAACCAGUAAACCUCUGAUGGUCUGCUACAGUUUCUUGCUGCUUCUGUGGACUUGGGCUGAUUGGCGGAGUAACGUCAGCUGAGACAGACUCACGUGCUGAGGCAGGACCCAUGGAGGACCUGCCAUGUUUAGAGGGUACAGACAGUACUCAGCAGUGACGGAGGCUGAGCUUGGCUUGCUUACAGAGCCAACCAUGCAACACUUGUGGGUCUCGCCUCUUUGCUGAUCUUCACUUCCCUAAGAGAGGCACAGCCGAGAACUUCUGGCCUUCUUCUUGGUCCCUCCGGCUGACUAGAGCUGAGGCACCCCCGGCUGUCUCUGCUAGGUAGUGUUACUGUUGCUGAUUCCUGUUUGCUACCCGACUCUACUGAACUAGAUGCUGGCGUGGUGUAUCGGUGAAGUGUUUGCCAGUGGAUCGAGCUGCUGCUACUAACCUGGGAACUGAACAGCUGAUUUCCAGACAGCACAGAACACCUGGAGUGGAUUACAGUUCUUCUCAUGCAGUUGUGUGUCUGGAAUGGAAACCCUGACAUCUAAGGCAGGACAUUUCAGAAGAACUGGGAUGGCUCUUGGCAUCAUUGGGAGAACCUGAAAGGGAAUACUAAGGGGACAGAGCUACAGAAUUUCCCAUCUGAGGAACUUGUACUUGUGGGGAAGUUGAUCAGAAACACCAGAGUCUGAAUUCUUCAGGCAGCUGAAUCUUGGUUCAAAGUAAGUUAAAAAGAAUUACAUAGAAGAGAAAUUCAACUCUGAAAUUCAAAACAUAUGUCAUUGAAUACCCUGAUGUAAACUUAGGAAAACAAAUGAAAGGACAGACUUUUUUCUAGUUAUUUGUUGACAUUCAGUCAUUCAGUCAUUCAUUUAUUUCUGGGGAGCUUCAGGCAGCUGAGGAGAUUUGUACACUGUCUUGGGUGAACAGACUACAACCAGGAACCAAGAAGCAUGUGGGGAACAUGUUGCAGGUUCAGCUUCAGAACACAUUGAGUCAUUUCAACAAAAACUGUGAUAAUUAAAGAGGAAAAAUUACAUUUAGCCCAGAUAUAAAAUGGGGAUAAGACUGAGCUCUUUUGGAAGUCAAUGCCAGAGAACACUCAGGUAAGAUAUCUGCCUACCAGGGAGGAAAAUAAACAAAGGGUGGCUGUCUGCUCCUAUGUGUGCAAAUACAGGUGUGACUCAUAAAUCAACAUCAGUUGUCACUGUAAAAGGAAAGGUGCCCAAAAGUGUGAAAGAAGACACAAGUACAUCAUCCGUGAUAUAUAAACCUGGUAAAGACGUUUGGUUCACAAGAGAAUUGUUUAGAAUGGUUCUUUCAAAAUUUUGCUCAGCAUUUCCAACUUAAUGAUCUAGGAUUUCAUGAGGAAGAUAGGGCAUUGGUACUUCUGGACAACUCUCCAGUUCACCCUUCUGCGGAACCAUCAGCCAGUGAGGAUGGUAGAAUAAGAUACACGUUCUCUCCCCCUAAUACUUCUACUUUGAGUCAACCAGUGAAUCAAGCUGUAACCUUGAGCUGCAAAGAACUUUAUAGAUGGAAACAACUUGAAGAGAGUCUUAGAAACUUUGGAGAAAGUGAGGAUGAACAGGAAAAAGAAAGAGAAGGGAAUUUCCAAGAUUAAGAUGUAGAAUGUGAAAAGUGCACUUUUUAACUGGGAUGAAGUAAAACAAUUAACAGUAGCAGACGCAUGGGAAAUCUCCUUUACAAAGAAGAAACUGUGUGACCUUCAAGGGCAAGAGCGUGGGAGCUAGAGGGAUCCUUGAGAAAGGUGCAGAAACCAAGCUGGGCAUGGAGGAUAUGGUUAAAUGAAGAUGAUGAAGAGAAAGGUUGUUUCUCCCCGCCUCUCUCCACCCUUCACCCCUGAAAACCCAAAAGGUGAGACAGUAAAGGAAGCUGUGCAAAGGACGGAGCUGGAAAUUGGACAGGAAUUUAAGUUCCACACUGGACUACAUUCUUAACUUUCCUGAUGCCAUACCUGAAUUUUAAAUACUUCAUUUCACACUAAGAGAUGCAACAAAAAUAUAGCCAAGAAAGAACUGGAGAGUAAAAUCCUUUUAAGAAUUGGUAGGUUUUUGAAAACUAGACUUCCUAAUAUUAAGGAUACUGUCAAUAUGCCUUCAACUUCUGGUUCUAGUAAUCAGACUAUGUAAAGGUAAUUGGAAUAUAUGAUACUGUUGAUACCGUUUUUAAUCAAACAUUAUUUUCAUAUCAAUGCUCACUUAUGCAUUGGCUAGAAUAUAGUUUGAAAAUAAAUGUGAAUUCCCAUAAAUGUAUGAAUAUCAUUUUCUAUUUACAAAUCAAGGAUCUGAAUAAUGAAUUAUCAUCCUAAAUUAUAUAAAUUGUAAUGGCUAUGCUAAAAACAUAGGUUUAAAUUCUACCAUGUAAUUUUGGCUAAUACACAUUAGUACUAUGCACCAAGCAAGACCUUUGUUUCAUUCUCCAGAAUUAAAAAAUAGUAACGUACGUCACAUAAAGGAGGAAGGGGCUCCUCCUAAGCCCCUAAAAGGAACUCAUAAUGAGCUAAGCUGGCCACGAACAGAUUUAUGACUGCCUACAUGGUCUUAUUACCCAUAGGGAAGUACAACCAAAGAGAAUUAAAAUAUUACAAGACGGGAGCUAGACAGUUGGCUCAGUGGUUAAGAACACUGGCUGGGGCUGGAGAGAUGGCUCAGCGGUUAAGAGCACUGACUGCUUUUCCAGAGGUCCUGAGUUCAAUUCCCAGCAACCACAUGGUGGUUCACAACCAUCUGUAAUGAGGUCUGAUGCCCUCUUCUGGUGCGUCUGAAGAUAGCGUACAGUGUACUCAUAUACAUAUAAUAAAUAAAUAUUAAAGAACAUUGGCUGUUCUUCAGGUGAUCCACGUUCAAUUUCUAGUCCCUAUAUGGUAGUCCGUUCUAGCCCAGGGGAUCUCAGCUCCCCCUGCACCAUGCCUGCCUGAAUGCUGCCAUGUUUCUGCCUUGAUGACAAUGGACUGAACCUCUGAACCUGUAAGCCAGCCAAGAAUUAAAUGUUGUCUUUAUAAGAGUUGCCUUGGUUAUGGUGUCUCUUCACAGCAGUAAAACCCUAAGACAGAAGUUGCUACCAGGGACUGGGGUGUUGCUGCGAUAGACCUGACCAUGCUUUUGUUUGGAAGAAUGUUGAUUUGGGGGGGACUUUGGAUUUAGAAAGCCAUAGAAUGUUUUAAGUGGAGCUUAAUGAGCCAUCCUAGUAGGAAUAUGGAAGGCUUUGUUGUUGUGAGUUAUUUCAAUUGUGCAGACCUGGCCCAAGAGGUUUCAGUGGAGAACAACUUCAGUAUGUGGCCUAGAGACUAUUUUUGUAGUAUUUUAGUGACGAACAUGGCUACUUUUGGCCCUAGUCUGAGGAGUCUGCCUGAGGCUAAGGAGAAGAGACUCAGAUAAAUUGCACUGACAAAGGAAGUCUCAAAAAAGCCCAGCAGAGACUUUGUUCUCUGGUUACGUCUGAUAAAGAGCAUUUUGAACAAGCAUAGCAAGCUUAGAAAGGAAAAAUAUAUAAGGUAUUUGAGUAUUAAAGGGGCACCAGGAAGUGAAAUAGAACUGAAUCCUGUGUUCAAGGGUAUUAAAUUGAAUUAACGGAGUGGUGACCUUGGGGCAAGAUCCUACCCAGCUAAAUUUAGAUCCAGGCUUGGUGCUACAUACUUUUAAUCCCAGGAGAUAAAGCCAAGCAGAUCUCUAAGUUCAAGGCCCAUCUGAAACAGACGGAGUUAUAGGU
ensembl:lncRNA